rnacentral:lncRNA from 1 species
GAAUAAAGAAAGGCAACAAAGUGAAAAGAAAAGAAAUUAAAUAUAUAAGUACCUUGCCGGAGAGUCGCCGGAAUAAUAUUCACAAAGCCAACUUUUAUUGCUUUACUUAAGAUUACAAGAGAGAAAUAAGAGAGAAUUUCUAAAAUUCUUGCUGCCUUUUCUUCAGAAUGAGGCUCCUUAUAUAGAAAAGAAAAGGAAU